UACGUAGGGGCCUAGCGUUGUCCGGAUUUAUUGGGCGUAAAGAGCUCGUAGGCGGUUCGGUAAGUCAGGUGUGAAAUCUCCACGCUCAACGUGGAGGCGCCACCUGAAACUGCCGUGACUCGAGUCCGGUAGGGGAGUGUGGAAUUCCCGGUGUAGCGGUGAAAUGCGCAGAUAUCGGGAAGAACACCCGUGGCGAAGGCGGUUCUCUGGGACGGUACUGACGCUGAGACGCGAAAGCGUGGGGAGCGAACAGG
rnacentral:rRNA from 1 species